CCCUAGCCCCCCAAACCCAUGCAGCCGCAGCUGCUGCCGCUCUCCUUUACCCUCAUCACCACUCACCCACAAGCAAACCUAACACAGACACAAGUGAAACCCAUAGCAGCGCCAAAUCAAAGAUGGGGAAAUAGGGAAAAUAGGGUCGCGGGAGAAGGGAGGAGGAGAGGAAGGAGAUUCGCGCCGGCGUGCUGGGCUCCACCGCCGCCGUCGCGUUGUCGCUGUCACUGAAGCUCCGCGCUGCUGUCCAACCGCCGCGCCUCGCCGUCAGUUGCUGUUCAUCUUCAUCGCGAACAAAGGGGAACGCGAGACCGAGAGAGAGAGAAGCGUGGAGUCGGUGUCGAGCGGAGAGGGACUCACCGCUGCCGUCGCGCACCGCCGUGUGCUGUCACCGCUGUCUGAACAGUCACCGUCGCCUUGGGUGGAGUCCGCCGCUGUCGCCAGUGGAGGCCACUGCUGUGGAACGGAUGUGUGAGAGGGAAGCAAGAUGAAUCCCCUCUGCUUCUGGUGCUCUGGUCCGCCGCAGCCUCCGCCGAAAUUCUUGGGCGCCGCCGUUGUUCUUGUUGCCAUUAAAGGAAGCUAGCUGCCGCCGCCAUUCAGAUCUGCUACAGUCUCUGUCGGAAGCCACCAUGGGAGCCGUGGAAGGAGGGGUUUCUGCCACCUUUGAAACUCCAUUGCUGUUGUUGUCAUGGCCGCCACGCCUUUGGCUGCCGGGAUCGGUAUUGUGGCCGCCAGAAACCGUUUUUCUUGGGUUGAGUUCCGAUAAAUGUGCGUCGAAACUAAGGUUGUUGUUGAGCCACCAGAGCUUUUUGUCGCUACAGGGCUGUUGUCAGGUCGGUUCGGAAUCGCAGCUGUUCCUUUGUGUUAUUUCGUGUUGCUAUGGUUAUUGUGAACGUGGCUGGGAGCUGAGGUUUUAAUUGCCGUCAGUUCGAGUUGAGGCGGAAAAGACUCUGUGAGACGUUUGGGUUAUGGAUUUGCGUUUUGAGGAUAUGGGCACAGAAGUCACGAAGAGUUUAUUUAGUUGUUGUUGAGAUGCUCUGUCUUGUUUUAG